rnacentral:lncRNA from 1 species
ACACAAAUACUAAACAGCCACUUUCCUCUUUGCAGAACAAAGAAGGCCAGAGUUGGUCAGAGCAGGUCAGAGUGCCAGCUCCCAGAUAAGCAGGUCUCUGCUGCAUUCAUCACCAGGAGGUCUGUCAAACACCACAGUGCAAGAGACCCUCAGACAGGAACAUCUGGCAGAGACCAACAUGAAGGACCAGCUGUUUGCUUCAGGACUGGCUUGGAGGAAGAAAUCCCACAGAAGCAAUAAAUCUGAAGGAACAGGACCGGGCUUUUAGUUCCUUUGAUUCGGACACAGGACAGGAGCAAGGAGCCUGGACAGAGGCAGUAUACCAAAAGAUGAAUGGGGUUUUUGUUUUAGCCUAAUAUAGACACAAACUCUUCUACAAUUAUCCUCCUGCACAAAUGAUCCUGGUUCUGCCCUGAAGGCCUUCUGAAGCCUUGUCUACUUGCUGUGCAUGACCUGAAACCAUUGCUCCC